GGAAAACUCAAUCCACGUCUCAUGGCAGUCUCGAGGAAAUCAGCACCAAUUUUAUCAUUACUAUCAUCACCACCAAUCUUAUCAUUACUAUCAUCACCACUCACAUCUCCGAAAAUCAUAGAGAAGCCCUCCACUAGAUCCUCAAACGUCCCUUUCGUGGUUUCCCUCCUUCCAACUUCUUCCAAAGAUCCUCCUUUCACCCAUAAUGGCAAUUUACGCUUUCCUUU
rnacentral:misc_RNA from 1 species